rnacentral:rRNA from 1 species
CCUUUACGGGAGGCAGCAGUGGGGAAUCUUGCACAAUGGACGAAAGUCUGAUGCAGCAAUUUCGCGUGAAGGAUGAAGGUUUUCGAAUCGUAAAGCUCUGUCCUAUGAGAAGAUAAUGACGGUAUCAUAGGAGGAAGCCCCGGCUAAAUACGUGCCAGCAGCCGCGGUAAUAAGG